ACGCUGGCGGCACGCCUAACACAUGCAAGUCGAACGCAGUAGCAAUACUGAGUGGCAAACGGGUGAGUAUAAUGUGGGAAUCUGCCUUUUGGUUUGGAAUAACACGAGGAAACUUGUGCUAAUACCGAAUAAGCCUUUACAGGGAAAGUUUUAACGCCGAAAGAUGAGCCCGCACUUGAUUAGCUAGUUGGUAAGGUAAAAGCUUACCAAGGCAAUGAUCAAUAGCUGUUCUUAGAGGAAGACCAGCCACAUUGGGACUGAGACACGGCCCAGACUCCUACGGGAGGCAGCAGUGGGGAAUCUUGCACAAUGGGGGAAACCCUGAUGCAGCGAUGCCGCGUGAGUGAAGAAGGCCUUUGGGUUGUAAAACUCUUUCGUCGGGGAAGAAAAUGACUGUACCCGAAUAAGAAGGUCCGGCUAACUUCGUGCCAGCAGCCGCGGUAAUACGAAGGGACCUAGCGUAGUUCGGAAUUACUGGGCUUAAAGAGCUCGUAGGUGGUUAAAAAAGUUGAUGGUGAAAUCCCAAGGCUUAACCUUGGAACUGCCAUCAAAACUUUUUAGCUAGAGUGUGAUAGAGGUAAGUGGAAUUUCUAGUGUAGAGGUGAAAUUCGUAGAUAUUAGAAAGAACACCAAAUGCGAAGGCAACUUACUGGGUCACUACUGACACUGAGGAGCGAAAGCAUGGGUAGCGAAGAGGAUUAGAUACCCUCGUAGUCCAUGCCGUAAACGAUGUGUGCUAGACGUUGGAAAUAUAUUUUUCAGUGUCGCAGCGAAAGCAUUAAGCACACCGCCUGGGGA
rnacentral:rRNA from 1 species